AGUGAACGCUGGCGGUAGGCCUAACACAUGCAAGUCGAACGAGUGGCGGACGGGUGAGUAAUGUCUGGGACACUGCCUGAUGGAGGGGGAUCACUACUGGAAACGGUAUCUAAUACCGCAUACCAUCGGAUGUGCCCAGAUGGGAUUAGCUUGGAGGUGAGGUAACGGCUCACCUAGGCGACGAUCCCUAGCUGGUCUGAGAGGAUGACCAGCCACACUGGAACUGAGACACGGUCCAGCCUCCUACGGGAGGCAGCAGUGGGGAAUAUUGGACAAUGGGCGCAAGCCUGAUCCAGCCAUACCGCGUGGGUGAAGAAGGCCUUAGGGUUGUAAAGCCCUUUUGUUGGGAAAGCGGUACCCAAAGAAUAAGCACCGGCUAACUUCGUGCCAGCCGCCGCGGUAAUAC
rnacentral:rRNA from 1 species